GUGUGUGGGGCGACCUGCACAUGGCACGAGGAGGGCUCGGUCCGCUUACCUGCCGUUGCGCCACCGAAAGGUGGGUCGUGGCGUGUGGGGGCGUGCACUGGCCCGCCCGCUCCCUCCUUCUGGAUUUCCGUUCCUCAGCCGGCUAUUAACUUAGCUCUGGGGGCGCCAUCGGGUGUGCUGUUGCCUUAGCCCAGUGUGCAUUUUGGCACUCAGGGCAUGGGGCCCAGAUCGUUUACCGUGAAAAAAUUAGAGUGUUCAAAGCAGGCAGAUAUUUUAUACUGCCACCGAAUACAUUAGCAUGGGAUAAUGGAAUAGGACCCUGUCCUUCAUGUUUCGCGUUGGUUGGAGGACCAGGGUAAUGAUUAAUAGGGAUAGUUGGGGGCAUUAAUAUUUAAUUGUCAGAGGUGAAAUUCUUGGAUUUAUGAAAGAUUAACUUCUGCGAAAGCAUCUGCCAAGGAUGUUUUCAUUAAUCAAGAACGAAAGUUAGGGGAUCGAAGACGAUUAGAUACCGUCGUAGUCUUAACCAUAAACCAUGCCGACCAGCGAUUGGGAGACGUUUCACACGGAGGUGGCCUCGGGGGGCAUUUUUGCUGUUCCGUCGCGCAAGCGGCGGGCGCAAUGUGUCCCUUUGGGGCUGCUUCCACUAAAGGAUGACUCCCCCAGCAGCUUGUGAGAAAUCAUCAAGUCUUUGGGUUCCGGGGGGAGUAUGGUCGCAAGGCUGAAACUUAAAGGAAUUGACGGAAGGGCACCACCA
rnacentral:rRNA from 1 species